GGAUAACCUGGGGAAACCCAGGCUAAUACCGCAUACGUCCUACGGGAGAAAGGGGGCUCCGGCUCCCGCUAUUGGAUGAGCCUAUGUCGGAUUAGCUAGUUGGUGAGGUAAAGGCUCACCAAGGCGACGAUCCGUAGCUGGUCUGAGAGGAUGAUCAGCCACAUCGGGACUGAGACACGGCCCGAACUCCUACGGGAGGCAGCAGUGGGGAAUAUUGGACAAUGGGCGAAAGCCUGAUCCAGCCAUGCCGCGUGUGUGAAGAAGGCCCUCGGGUUGUAAAGCACUUUCAGCGAGGAAGAACGCCUAGUGGUUAAUACCCAUCAGGAAAGACAUCACUCGCAGAAGAAGCACCGGCUAACUCCGUGCCAGCAGCCGCGGUAAUACGGAGGGUGCAAGCGUUAAUCGGAAUUACUGGGCGUAAAGCGCGCGUAGGUGGCUUGAUAAGCCGGUUGUGAAAGCCCCGGGCUCAACCUGGGAACGGCAUCCGGAACUGUCAAGCUAGAGUGCAGGAGAGGAAGGUAGAAUUCCCGGUGUAGCGGUGAAAUGCGUAGAGAUCGGGAGGAAUACCAGUGGCGAAGGCGGCCUUCUGGACUGACACUGACACUGAGGUGCGAAAGCGUGGGUAGCAAACAGGAUUAGAUACCCUGGUAGUCCACGCCGUAAACGAUGUCGACCAGCCGUUGGGUGCCUAGCGCACUUUGUGGCGAAGUUAACGC
rnacentral:rRNA from 1 species